GUGAGUAGUUCAGAGUUUGAUCCUGGCUCAGGACGAACGCUGGCGGCGUGCCUAACACAUGCAAGUCGAGCGAGAAUUUAGUAAUUGAUCCUUCGGGAUGAUUUUACUAAAGGAAAGCGGCGGACGGGUGAGUAACGCGUGAGUAACCUGCCCUUAGGAGGGGGACAACAGUUGGAAACGACUGCUAAUACCGCAUAACAUACAUUAACCGCAUGGUUAAUGUAUCAAAGAUUUAUCGCCUAAGGAUGGACUCGCGUCUGAUUAGAUAGUUGGUGAGGUAACGGCUCACCAAGUCGACGAUCAGUAGCCGAACUGAGAGGUUGAUCGGCCACAUUGGGACUGAGACACGGCCCAG
rnacentral:rRNA from 1 species